rnacentral:rRNA from 1 species
AACCCAAAUUAAUAGUUAUCGGCGUAAAGCGUGUUUAAGACACCCAAGCAAUAGAGUUAAACCUUUACUACGCUGUAAAAAGCCUCAGUAAAACCAUAAACCCUUCGACGAAAGUGACUCUAACCUAUCUGACUACACGAUAGCUAGGACCCAAACUGGGAUUAGAUACCCCACUAUGCCUAGCCCUAAACUAAAACAGUUCACAAACAAAACUGUUCGCCAGAGUACUACUAGCAACAGCUUAAAACUCAAAGGACUUGGCGGUGCUUUACACCCCUCUAGAGGAGCCUGUUCUAUAAUCGAUAAACCCCGAUAUACCUCACCAUCCCUUGCUAAUA